rnacentral:rRNA from 1 species
UGAGGAAUAUUGGUCAAUGGGCGCAAGCCUGAACCAGCCAUCCCGCGUGAAGGAAGAAGGCGCUAUGCGUCGUAAACUUCUUUUCCAGGGGGAGAAUUUUCCGGUCGUGACCGGAAUUGACGGUACUCUGGGAAUAAGCAUCGGCUAACUCCGUGCCAGCAGCCGCGGUAAUACGGAGGAUGCGAGCGUUAUCCGGAUUUAUUGGGUUUAAAGGGUGCGUAGGCGGAUCAAUAAGUCAGUGGUGAAAUUCUGCAGCUUAACUGUAGACUUGCCAUUGAUACUGUUGGUCUUGAGUAUGGUCAAGGUAGGCGGAAUGUGUGGUGUAGCGGUGAAAUGCUUAGAUAUCACGCAGAACGCCGAUUGCGAAGGCAGCUCGCCGGGCCGAUAUCGACGCUGAGGCACGAAAGCGUGGGGAUCAAACA